rnacentral:snRNA from 1 species
CCUAGGGCGCGAGCCCGG